GAAGACAGUAAGAACAAACAAUAUUCAUGCUACCUAUUUCCUUUAAAUCGUACUGGCAGGAAUCUUUUCAGUCUUACUCUCCAUUACGUCCCCAGUUCCCAGAAUAGGGACCAGGAUGGAGUUUUCCUUCCACGUGUACAAUCGGCCUUCUCCAUCCGCGGAUUCAACCAACGGCAAAUCGGGUACUGUUUACAAUUUGCGGUUGGUUCAAUCUGCGCAUGCGGAAAUCACAGGAGGACGCGGAACCCGCAAGCAAAUAUGGAGGGCCAACUCGGGGACUUGAGCAUCAGGGGAUUUUGGUAUCCUUAUCGGGGCGGUUCCUGGAAGCAAGUCCCCACGAGUCUCAUGGACUGCUGCGUUAUUCGCGUUGGAGGUAAAGCGAGAAAGCAAGGAGACAGAAAGUCAGGAAGAUGGACGCAACAAAACAGGACCUGUCACGUGAAUUUAUUAGGAUAAAUAGGUGAGCCAAGGCACAUCACGGCCUCAUCACAGGACCAGGAAUAGAUUUCUUCUUCAUACAUCUCUCUCCUCGACAUCACAGGACGAGCAUGGGCAGCAUCUCACCUGUCUCCAUCUGCUGCCCUCAACUUGACUCCUCUCCAAGCACCAAAAACAGUCCCCUGUUCUUCGGAGGCACUCAAACAUUUGUGGACUUGAAAUCAAAUUAAAUAAAGCCUUAUUGGAUAAAAGCUGUUCCCGACUG
rnacentral:lncRNA from 1 species